rnacentral:lncRNA from 1 species
CUCACUUCACUCCCACUCAGCCCACAGUCCUAAAGGCUGGUCUCACUCCCACCGAGGCCCUGCAACAGCACCAAGUCUAUUUCUAGGCAGCCCAUGACCAGGGCUGAGAACUUGCCCCAGACCAUGAGCCUCCCGGCUGAGAAAACAAGUUAACUCACAGUUUUUCAGCAUCUCAGGGAGCCUGCAGCAGUGAUCCAGUUCCUUCAAACUGUCUGUGGAUUCUCUCGGCUUUCCUGGUAUGUGCCUGAGAAAGCAAGUUGACUCAGUUUUUCAGCAUCUCAGGGAGCCUGAAGCAGUGAUCCAGUUGCUUCAAACGUCUGUGGAUUCCCUCGGCUUUCCUGAAAUAGUGAUGCUGUGACACUUCUAAGGCUAGGAUUUAAGAAGCCUUGCAGAGUCCACCAGGGUCCCUUGGAACACAAAUUGUGGGAGAAGCAAUCCCUGAAGAAAGCCAGCCAUUAUGGAAGAAAUCCAACGACCCUGAGACCACUAUGCUGUAAGGAAGACCAAGCCAGCAAAGAAGAAGAAACCAUGUCCGGGUGCGGUGGCUCACGCCUGUAAUCCCAGCACUUUGGGAGGCCGAGGUGGGCGGAUCACUAGGUCAAGAGAAAGAGACCAUCCUGGCCAACAUGGUGAAACCCCAUCUCUACUAAAAAUACAAAAAUUAGCUGGGCGUGGUGGCACGUGCCUGUAGUCCCAGCUACUCGGGAGGCUGAGGCAGGAGAACCGCUUUGAACCUGGGGGGCGGAGGUUGUAGUGAGCCAAGAUUGCACCACUGCACUCCAGCCUGGCAACAGAGUGAAAAAAAAAAAAAAAAAAAAAAAAAGAAGAAGAAACCAUAUGGAGACAGAGAUGCCCCACCAGUACCCAAAUGUCUCAGACAUCACAGGCAUCAGACACAUUAGUAAAGAAGCUGUAAGCCAACCCCAGUUAUUUGACUGGAAUCAUAUGAGGAACCCUAAGUAAGAACUACAUCUCUGAGCUCAUCAAGGCCACAGAAUGGUGAGAGGUAAUCAUAAAUGGUUGUUUUAAGCCACAAAGUUCAGGAGUAGAUGGUUAUAUGGAAUAAAUAACUACCAGAGGUGUCUAACUUUCAUUCAAUCACUGACUCUUUCAUUCAGCAAUUGUUUAUUGAACACUUUAUGUGCAGCAACUUGCAAGGCACUAGGAACAAGAAUGAAUAAGACAGGCCCAACCCCUACUACUUUUAUGGGGUUGACGGUCUUUUGGAAAGGCAUUGAAAAAUUGGUUGAUUGAUCAUUUCAACUUCUAAUACCUGUUCCCCUGUGCUCACUCUAAGCUGGUGACUUUUCUCAUUUUUCAUUGAGACUUUAGAAAUAAUCAGAAAGGAACUCCUUCAUCAACCUAGAAUGUAGACUCCUAACCUACCAGCAUCUAUGUAAAAUUCUCCACCUUUUCUUUUCUCUGGAUGAAGUGUCUCCAGAGAUUCCCCGUCCACUUGAGCUCUGGAUCCCAUCCCCUUAACAAUGACUUCUCUAUCACUUUCAUCAGAAAGCAAACAUGCUCCAGAUGAUCUCAACCAGGAUCCCAGCUUGAAUACCAUCUUUGGGCUGAUGGUCCUGGAACCCAUGUCUCCAGCCUUGAUCUAUCUGCAGAACCACAGACUUUUAUAUAUUCAGCCUUCUACUUGGCCCCUCAGCUUAGAUAUCUGAUCUAUCUCAAACUUAGCAUGACCCAAAUAGAACGCCAGAUGUUUCACCUGCAACCUACCCCCUCUCACAUUCUUCCCUACCCCCAUAAAUGGCCUCUUCACCAAUUCUAUUUCUAAAAUAGAUAAGUUAUCCUUAUUUUCUUUCUCCCCAUUCCCCCCACAUCCAACCCAGUAGGCAGUCCUAUUGACUCUACCUUCAAAACAUAUCCUGAAUCCACCCACUCCUCUUCAGCUUCAGCAUUUCUAUCCUGGUCCAAGCCACCAUCCUCUCACUGAAUUGCUGAAAUUUCAAGCCUCCUAACUUGCCUGCCCCAUUUCACUCUGACCCACACAAUCUGAGCCUCCUCUUCGUAUGGGUGGCUGACUGGAAACAUCCAAAGGGCACUGAAAAGGAUGUUAACAUUCUACUAGGUUUUAGAACAGGCCUAAAGUGAGAUACACUGCAUGACUCAUAGCAAAUUACUCUAAAAUCCCUCUCUAGCCAUCCAUGCCUGUUUCCAGGGCAGCCACUCAGAAAUCUCUCCUGGCUCCUUUCCCCACCCUUUCUUUGCUAACUCUCCCGCUAAACUCCUCCAGCGUUGGCUAUUUCCCUCUCCCCUCCCCACUUCUGCUCAGCUCUUCACUAAGGAGACCCAAUUAGCUUUCUAGGUCUCCUUCAAUUCAUUUUUUAUUCCAAGCAGCAACACAAAGCCAGGCUGUAAGACCUCCUUAGAAAGAAAGGGGGAGGUUGCAAACAUUUGUUAUAUUAUUCUGUUUCUUUUUCACCCAGUCACAAAUUCUCUCUAGGGAAAACUUUUCUGUUCUCUGAAAUGAGGACAUCAUACUCUCUGGGUCACCUUCCAGACACCCCAGCAUACUUCCCCCAAUCCUUUUCUCCUAUUGGAUUCAGCCAGGUUCUGCUCUGACAUAGGCCUUGUGGGGGUGGGGUAGAGGGCACUACUGAGGUUGCUGGUGAGGACCAAGUCCUCUAGACUUUCUCCUAGAAAAGUGACUUUCACACUUUUCUUUUGCGACUCACUGUAAGAAAUACAUUUCACAUCUCACCCAAGUGCACAUAUGUGUACACACACACAUCUGAAGCAAAAGGUUAAUAUUACUUAACCUUCACUCUGAUAUUUUCUAUUCUCUGUAUGUCAUUUCAAAAUGGUACUAAUCAUCUUUUAGUGAUACAUACCAAAAUAUUUACUGAUGAAAUGAUAUGAGGUCUGGAGCUUGCUUCAAAAUCUGUGAGACGACUGGUGAAACAAGAUUGGUCAUGAGUUGAUCAUAUCAAACUGGGUGAUAGGCACGUGGGAGUUUGUUAUACUAUUCCAAUAUUUUAUAUAUUUGAUAUCUUUAAUAAUAAUAAAUUUAAAACAAAAGAAAAUUAUUGGUCAUGCCCCACUAAAUUGAUUUCAGAACCCACUAAUAGGCCAAGAACUAGUUUGUAAAGUACCUUCUAGAAAAAUCUAGGAGUUGGGAAGUUUAAAAUUAGAUGGCAGGGAAACAAAUCUACAGUUAAAUUUAAUCUAAUGCUCUCUUUCUACCCCACCCCCUAAUGAAGUCUAUUUCUUCUUCCAGGGUUAGGAGGUAGGAUAUUUACUGAGUUUUCUGCCACCCUCAGAGUAUGGUUUCAUAUCAGAUGUCAUUAUUUGCCAAAACUGAAACAAAGAGGUGAUCUCCACCCACCAAGAUUCAAGCCAGUUUCUCAUGAACUGCAGUUUCCUAGACAUCAGGGGAUUUGUCCCUGGGGGCCACAGGGCCAGCCACCUGGGAGAUUCUAUCUGUGAGCAACCCAGUCAUGUUGGAAGCAAACUAAGGGAUAUUGUCUGUGACCAAAGUCCUGGAAAGGAUCUGGUAGGAUCCUGGGCUGGGCAAGAAAGGCUGCUCAGUCUCUCCUCUACAGCCAAGCUGUUCACCACUUCUGGCUCAUCAGCUGCUCCCUGUUGCUUUCCUGGUGUUCUCUGAUGACCUCCAUGAUCACCCCAUGCUCUUCUUAUUUUUUAAUUAGUUUCAUGGAAGUAAGAGCUCAGGCAGCCCUUUAGUUUGUGGCCAAAUAUAAGGUUGUUUGGUAUCUCUUGGUCACAAGGUUUUCCUGAACAAGCCUCAACUCUGCUUCUCCAGAGCUCUCCAUUGUGCUGAGUGGAUGCCUCAGCCGCCUCUUGUGUCUGAAAGCACACAUGAACCAUUUCUCUAUUCCCUUUGCUAGGUAGCUAUGAACUCUACCUAGAAAUCCCACUUUGGUUAAAAAAAAAAGUCUUUCCAUAGCUAAAGCAACUCUGUCACAAAAACAAAGGCCCCGCGAAUUUUGAGUUCACAAUGCUGACUUGGCAAACCCAAUCUUUUCCCCACCUGAGGCCUGUCACCUUCAUAACUCAAGGUUCCCUUCUCCCAUCUGGCCCACAGUUUCGGUAGUUUCUGCAAGCAAAUAAUUCCUACUUGUGGUUUCUAAACCCUUAUCAAUUGAAACACCACAGCGGCCCAGUUCCCAGUGGAUCCCAACACUAUUAUCGUCCAUAUGGAUAAAAAUGAAUAUGGUUCAGGGAGGAAAAACACAAUGAAAAGAUGGUAAAGACAGUCAAGGCAGUUCUGUCUGGUGUCUGUUUUAAGUGGGGAAAAAAAAGGAGGUAAUCAUUGCAUUCCAUCUAGACAUGACAGUGAGAUUUACUGGAAGUAUUUCCAGUUGUGUUCAUCUGCCAACCCUCCAGGAAUGCUUGAUAAAGUUUAUAUUUGAUGUCAAGUUGCCAGCCACCUGGGAUAUGAUCUCCAUAGUUGAGGUUAUGUUUAUGAAAAAAGGCAAGCUCCCAGUUGAGGAAGGAUGGGCAUCACCUAUUGCCUGUAACAGAGAAUGUGAUCCCAUAUACUAUUUAGACCAGAAGGCUAUAAAGCUCAUUCUGAGGCUGACUCCACCAUCCCAGCUUUCCUGAAAGGUAUCUACCGGGUAGUGAUAGACCUGUCUCGUGAGGACUCUGGUUAUGGGGCUUCUGACAUUGUACCUGCAACACCCAUUGACCUGUCAGAUCUUCUGAGUGGGGACUGGCAUAAAACCGCAUCAACAUCUUUCCUGGAAACCAUCAGCAAGAAAACCCAAGCCCGAGUCCUCUGACUCCUAAACAGAAACAUGGAGAAGGAGGCCCCUAAAUGCACUAUUGAAUUCUAAGAUUACAUAAACAACACUGCAGAAAGAUACUGCUAACUUAUAAAAGUAUGGACCUCCUGGAAGAAAUUAAAAGCAAUCCCAAUUUCCAUAAAAUGUACUAUUAAAAGGUUGCUAACAUCCUUCUUAAUAACCUGCAUACAUAAAUAGCUGAUUCCAGUGGUAACCUUCCUUACCAAAUUGGAAAAUGUGUCAGUCUACCAUGGCGGGAUGACAGUGAACUUUAUUUUAUUUACUGUAAUUCUCUCCUGGAACCUAUUUCUCAUCCUGCCUUUGGGUUGCUAUCAACAGCUCUCUUGGAGACUCCCUGGUUGCGAAGCCCUCAUGAAGCCUCAGUUCCUCCAAUUGGCUGAGAAAACUGACCCAUUCACAGUGACUCUGAGGAGUAAGACUCUGAACCCUGGUUAAAAAAAAAAAAUCAUACCCACUCAAAAAGAUGCUUCUAUAAGCCAUGACAUGGUGAUGCUGCUGCUUCUAAAAUGCACACUAGUCCAGCUUUUCUGGGGUCUCUAGCCACCAGAGAUGGGGACAAGGUCUGGUCUAGGACUAGGCCACAGUACAGUCCCUUGGUAUCAGGAAGCCCCGCUGUCAGAGUCUUUCAUCACUACAGCAGACAAUGGUGUUACCAGACGGUGUUGCUGGAUGACCACACAGUGUCAGAGGAACAGCAGUCUGAGUGGUGAGACUCAGGAACCCACUGGCACUCCUUACACUCCUUACACUACCUACCCCAUGAUGUGUGCCCCUGACUUCCUUUUCUUUUCUGAAAUGGAUUCACAUUUCCUGAAAAAAACUUAUCUUUAUGGAGGCUCAAAUAAAAAUUUUUUAAUAAAAAACAAACAAACUGUAUUUAGCCUAUAAGCUGACGAGGGAGUGGAUAGUCUCAAUCUAAAGCUGUCUCAAAGUCCCCGUGCAAGUGUGACUCGAUAUCCAUUCACCCAACUCUGGGUCAGACAUUCUUAACAAAGAUUGGUUCUGCAGUUUUAGAGUGGGUUCCAUCACUUCCUGAUGAUUCCAAGGUGCUGCUCCAUGAGGAGAUCUGCUGAGACUGCAUGCACAUCAUUUGCUUUGCACAUCAGUUUGCUGGCAGACCCUCUUGCUGAAGGUGCCCAUGAAGUUCAGUUCUGUGGGGACAUUUAACUAUAUUUACAAAUAAAUAUGUAUGUUUAUCUGGAACUGAGAUACUGGUGAGUUGCUGCUACUUCAGGGCCAAGGUCCAGGACACCUUCUCUCAAUUUUGCCUUGUAGGCAACACACAGGAACUAAAACCAAAGAGAAAGGCUGGGAAAGGAUAAGAGAUUGUAACUUAUGUUUUCUUGAUUUCCUUUGCAGCUCGUGGCAGAGAGUUGAGACUUAAGUAAGAGGCAGGGUUACUUUAUGAAUUUAUUUCUUUCUUUUAUUUAUUUAUUUUUUUUUGAGAUGGAGUCUCACUCUAUCAUCCAGGCUGGAGUGCAGUGGCGCGAUCUUGGCUCACUGCAACCUCCACCUCCCGGGUUCUAGUGAUUCUCCUGCAUCAGCCUCCCGAGUAGCUGGGACUAUAGGCGUGUGCCACCAUGCCCGGCUAAUUUUUGUAUUUUUUACUAGAGACAGGGUUUCACCAUAUUGGCCAGGCUGGUCUGGAACUCCUGACCUCGUGAUCUGCGCGCCUUGGCCUCCCAAAGUGCUGGGAUUACAGGCGUGAGCUACCACGCCCGGCCUUCUUCUUCUUCUUCUUUUUUUAAAGUAUUGUUAAAAACUUUUAACUUUUAUUUUAGGUUCAGAGGUAUAUGUGUAGGUUUGUUAUGUAGGUGAACUCAUGUCACAGGGGUUUGUUGCACAGAUUAUUUAAUCCCCCAGGUACUAAGCCUAGUACCCAAUAGUUUUUUCUCUGAUCCUCUCCCUCCUCCCACCCUCCACCCUCAAGUAGGCCCCAGUGUGUGUUAUUCCCCUCUGUGUCCUUGUGUUCUCAUCAUUUAGCUCCCACUUACAAGUGAGAACAUGUGGUAUUUGUUUUUCUGUUUCUGUGUUAGUUAGCUAAAGAUAAUAGCUUCCAGCCCCAUCCAUGUUCCUGCAAAAGACAUGAUCUCAUUCUUUUUUAUGGCUGCAUGAUAUUUCAUGGUGUAUAUGUACAUUUUCUUUAUCCAAUCUGUCAUUGAUGGACAUGUAGAUUGAUUCUUUGUCUUUGCUAUUUCUAAUAGCACUGCAGUGAACAUAUGCGUGCGUGUCUAUGACACAAUGAUUUAUACUCCUUUGGGUAUAUGUAAUGGGAUUGUUGAAGUGUAUGGUAAUUCUGCUUUUAGCUCUUUGAGGAAUUGUUACACUGCUUUCCACAAUGGUUGAACUAAUUUACACUCCCACCAGCAGUGUAUAAGCAUUCCCUUUUCUCCACAACCUUGCCAGCAUCUGUUAUUUUUUGACUUUUUAAUAAUAGCCAUUCUGACUGGUGUGAGAUGGUACCUCAUUGUGGUUUCUCUAAUUGCACUUCUCUAAUGAUAGUGCUAUUAAGCUUUUUUUCAUAUGCUUCUUGGCCACUGUAUUAAUCAGGGUUCUCUAGAGGGACAGAACUAGUAGGAUAGAUAGAUAAAUAUAAAGGGGAGUUUAUUAAGGAGUAUUAAAUUCACACGAUCACAAGGUCCCACAAUAGGCCACCUGCAAGCUGAGGAGCAAGGAAGCCAGUCCAAGUCUCAAAGCUGAAGAACUUGAAGUCUGAUGUUCAAGGGAAGGAAGCAUCCAGCAUGGGAGAAAGAUGUAGGCUGGGAGGCUAAGCCAGUCUGGCCUUUUCACGUUUUUCUGCCUGCUUUAUAUUCUAGCUGAACUGGCCGCUGACUAGAUGGUGCCUACGAAGAUUAAGGGUGAAUCUGCCUUUCCCAGCCCACUGACUCCAUUGUUAAUCUCCUUGGCAACAUGCUUACAGACACGGCCAGGAUCAAUACUUUGCAUCCUUCAAUCCAAUCAAGUUUACACUCAGUAUUAACCAUCCCAGCCACAUAUGUAUCUUCUUUUGAAGAGUGUCUGUUCGUGUCCCUUGCUCACUUUUUAAUGAGGCUGUUUGUUUUUUUCUUGUCAAUUUGUUUAAAUUCCUUAUAGAUGCUGGGUAUUAUUAGACCCUUUGUCAGAUGCAUAGUUUGCAAAUAUUUUCUCCCAUUCUGUAGGUUGUCUAUGUAUUCUAAUGAUAGUUUCUUUUGCUCUGCGGAAGCUCUUAAGUUCAGUUAAAGCCCAUUUGUCAAUUUUUGCUUUUGUUGCAAUUGCUUUCGGCAUCUUCAUUAUGAAAUAUUUUCCAGUUCCUAUAUCUUGAAUGGUAUUGCCUAGCUUGUCUUCCACAGUUUUUAUAGUUUUGGGUUUUACAUUUAAGUCUUUAAUCCAUCUUGAGUUGAUUUUUGUAUAUGGUAUAAGGAAGGAGUCCAGUUUCAGUCUUCUACAUAUGGCUAGCCAGUUAUCCCAGCAUCAUUUAUUGAAUAAGGAAUCCUUUCCCCAUUGCUUGCUUUUGUCAAAUUUGUCAAAGAUCAGGUGGUUGUAGGUGUGAGACCUUAUUUCUGGAUUUUCUAUUCUGUUCCAUUAGUCUAUGUGUUUUUUCUUGUAUUAGUACCAUUGUGUUUUGGUUACUGUAGCCCUGUAGUAUAUUUUGAAGUUGGGUAGUGUGAUGCCUCCAGCUUUGUUCUUUUUGCUUAGAAUUGCCUUGGCUAUUCGAGCUCUUUCUUUGGUUCCAUAUGAAUUUAAAAAUUUUUUUUUCUAGUUCUGUGAAGAAUGUCAUUGGUAGUUUGAUAGAAAUAGCAUUGAAUCUGUAAAUUGCUUUGGGCUGUGUGGCCAUUUUAAUGAUAUUGAUUCUUUUUAUCCAUGAGCAUGGACUGUUUCUCCAUUUGUUUGUGUCAUCUCUGAUUUCUUUGGCAAGUGUUUUGUAAAUCUCAUUUUAGAGAACUUUCACUUCUCUGGUUAGCUGUAUUCCUAGGUAUUUUAUUCUUUUUGUGGCAAUUGUGAAAGGGAUUGUGUUCCUGAUUUGGCUCUCAGCUUGGCUGUCGUUUGGUGUAUAGGAAUGCUAGUGAUUUUUGUACAUUGAUUUUGUAUCCUGAAACUUUGCCGAAGUUGUUUAUCAGCUGAAGGAGCUUUUUGAGUUGAGAUUGUGUGGUUUUUCUCCAUAUAGAAUUAUUUCACCUGCAAACAAGGAUAGUUUGACUACUUUUCUUCGUAUUUGGAUGCCCUUUAUUUCUUUCUCUUGCUCGAUUGCUCUGACCAGGACUAUAUUUAGUACUGUGUUUAAGCAGGAGUGGUGGGAGAGGACUUCCUUGUCUUGUGCCAGUUUUCAGGGGGAAUGCUUCCAGCUUUUGCCCAUUGAGUAUGAUGUUGGCUGUGGGUCUGUCAUAGAUGGCUCUUUAUUAUUUUGAGGUAUGUUCCUUCAAUACAUAUUAUGAAUUUCAAGGGCCCUUAGCACUUUUACUUCCCUGGGCUUCUUCCUUCAUUAAAAAUAUUUGAAAUUAUAUUUUGUCACUGCAUUGCUGUAAAGACAAAUAAUAUUAGUAUGAAAACAUUUUCUUCAACCUAAAAGUUAUUUUUUCUUCUAAUUUUAAAAGAAAUUAAAACAUUUUCACAGACCUCUGAAAAUAGUGUGGAUCUUAGUUGUUGUACCUACUGUGCCUGUUAAGAUAUGCCCAUUAAGUAUCUGUUGAUGGAUGGGUGGAUGGAUGAAUGUUAUAAAAAAGUUAACUUUAGGGGUAAGAACAUGACAUAGAAGAGAGAUGGAGGUAUGAGGAAAUCAUUUACUGUGCUUCCUUCUAUCUGUUCACACUGCCCUGAGCUCCCUGUUCUCAGCCAUGAUGUCUGGAUCUCCAAUUCACUUUGAAGGAUGGGAGCAUUGAUGUGAAGCAUUGAUGUGAAGCUUCAUUUCCCACAUAUAAGUCACCACAACACUAAUACAAGAUUAUAGUUUUCAAAUUUAAAAUAAAAUUAAUUUAAGCACACUGACAGAAAUAUCAAGAAUGAAUUUUGUCUUCAACUACAAACAUCACUGCAGAUGUCAUUAGAAAGACUAUUCUAAAAGAUGUUUAGAAAACUACCUUCAGAAUCUUGGGCCUUAUUAUCAUAAUAUUUUUCAGGUGUUGAUUAAUUGAGUAUCUAGUCUUAUGAUCCACUGAGUCACAAAUAGAAAGACAUAAGAUUGGCAAUGGCUUCUACAAUAUUUCAUAUUUGUUAUUUUCAGAACAUAUCAACAAGAGAAAAUUUAUUAUAGUAUUUUUUGUUGAUGUGGCCCUAAUUUGCUUUUCCCUGCUGUUCUACAGGUCUACAAUGGUGAGAAUCUAAGAUGGAAUCCUGAAAAUCCUAUGCUUUUCAAAAUACAUUUUGAGUUCCCUUUAACCUAACACACAGAUGCCAAGUGGCACAUUUAGCAGUAGACUGGGUGUGUCCUCAAGCAAGGAUGGAGUGGCACACUAGAGAGUUUGAAAAUGGCUCUUAAUAUUGUCAGAACUAAGUUAACUGAGUUAUUAUCUUAGAGCAGCAGUAGGCAAACUACAACCUGUGAGCCAAAUCUGGCCCACCACCUAUUUUUGAUUAGACCAGGAGAUAAAAUGGUUUCUACAUUUUUUCAAUGGUUGGGAAAAAAGCCUAAAGAAAAAUAAUAUUUAGUAACAUGAAAAUUAUAUAAAAUUCAAAUUCCACUGGAAGAAUAAUAUUUAGUGACAUAAAAAAUUAUGUGAAAUUCAGAUUCCAGCAUACAUAAAUAAAGUUUAAUUUGGAACAUAACUAUGUCAAUUUAUUUAUGGAUUAUGGCAGCUUUCAUGCCAAAGAACAAAGUUGAGUAUUUGCAACAGAGAUAAUAUGGCCCACUAAGCCUGAAAUAUUUACUACCUGGCUCUUUACAGAAAACACUUGACCCCUGUCUUGGAGCACAGAAAUUCCUGAAGAAGAUCUGAAGCACCAAGUUUCUUUUAGUAAUCCCACUAUGGGAACUUUUUUUUUUUUUUUUUCAGAUGGAGUCUUGCUCUUGUCACCCAGGCUGGAGUACAAUGGCACAAUCUCAGCUCACUGCAACCUCCACCUCCUGGGCUCAAGCAUUUCUCCUGCCUCAGCCUCCUGAGUAGCUGGGAAUAGUGGUAUUCCCAGCUAAUUUUUUGUAUUUUUAGUAGAGACGAGGUUUCACCAUUUUGGCCAGCCUAGUCUCAAACUCCUGACCUCAGGUGAUCCUCCCGCCUCAGCCUCCCAAAGUGCUGGGAUUACAGGCAUGAGCCAUCGCACCCAGCCCCAUUACAGGAACUCUUAUCCAUGAAUAAUGCAUAAAUCAUAUUGCUAGUUCACCUGUGUUGAUCUUUUACUAUGUGCUGGGCCCCAUGUUAGAUGUUUCCAUUCAUUAUCUCAUUUAAUCUUCACAACCUAGUGAGGUAGAUAAUGUCAACAUCUCUAUUUUAUAGGUUAGAAAAAUGAAGUUCCAGGGAGAUUACCUAACUUGCCCAAAGUCACUCUCAGCAAAUGGCCUACCUGGGAUUCAAACCCAAGACCAUCUAAUGUCAAAGUUUAUGCCCUGAGCUAUGUUAUCACAAUGACUCAAGCCUUUCUUGGCAUUAAGGAUGUUUGUCACUAGUACUUCCCCUCUGAGAAAAGACUGCAUGAAACUUACUAUCUUAGUCUGUUUGGGCUGCUAUGCCAUGGACUGGGUGACUGUAACAACAGAAAUUUCUCAAAAAUUGUGCAGGCAGAAUUUUGGGAGAUACAAAAUCCAGGCAUUGGCAGACCCAGUGUUUGGUGAGGGGCUGUGUCCUGGUGGAGAAAGAGGGAGCAAGCUCUCCCCUGUCUUUUAUAAGGGCACCAACCCCAUCAUGAGAGCUCCAUCUUCAUGACCUAGUUAUCUCUCAAAGGCCCCAUCUCCAAAUACCGUCACACUGAGGAUCUAAGCUUCAACAUAUAAAUUUUACAGGAAUACAAAUAUUCAGUACAUUGCACUUACUAACUACUGUGCAAAGUAAUUCUUCCUUUUAUUUGUCUUAAAUUUGCAACUUUCAAGCUUCCCAUGAGACUGACUCCUGGUGAGUUUGUGUUUAUCUAGUCACAGCUUUCUCUGCUGUAUGUAUUUUAAUCUUAUCCCCCUCUAGGCCUUUUUUCAGGGGAAAUGGAGGGUCUGUGCUUUCUGUAUAUGGAAGUCCCCCCUGCUCUUCUUCAAGCCUGCUAUGAUUUGAUUUCUUUGAAUGCAAUGACCAGAAUAAUACAUGAUAUUUCUAGGUUCAAUAAACUGGCAGGAUAGUGGUUAUUUUCAUUUCCCAUGUCUUCUUAAUGAUUCAUAGCAUUUCACUGUUGUUUUAGUUCAUCUUCUUGGGGCUACAGAAACAAAAUAGGUAAAUGUUUUCAGCUUACAAUUUCCCAAUCAUAUUCCUGGAGCAUAACUUUGCUCAGAGCCAAGCAUCUUAUUAUAUUGCUCACAUUAGUUUUCUCUGAAUAGUUUAAAUAUCAUUUUUCUGCAGAAUUAAAGGUUUUUGGUUCUUAUUCUAGAGAGAAAGGCACAGUACAAAUAGCGUGAGUGUGUGUCCCUGCACUGGGAAAGGCUGACCAGUGAGGCAGGAAAAACCUAUAUUUCUUUAAAAGAAGCAGAACUUCCACAUUUUCCCAAGAGUAACAGAUAUGAUCUAAUCUCUGACAGACUCUGUUCCUAUGACUCAUGACUCUAGAUACAUCUUGUAACAAUCAAGCUUUAUCUUAACAUGGAUGAGAGUAUCUAUCACCUGAGCAAUGCGGAUAAAGCAGAUCUUUUUAAAGGCUUCUGUGUCUUCCAAAGAAGUAGAAACAAUAUUUUGAUUCGAUAUAUCUUAUGCCUGUCUUCUUAAAUAUAUUUUUGCAAAACAUAUAUGUCUGACAGGUUUGUAGGUAAAUUUGCAUGUAAGCUUCAGUGUAAUUGCCAGUUGGUGGUGGGGGGUUGACCCUGACACAGCUCCUAACAGUACAUGUCUAGGCUCUCUAAGGUAAUCAGUCUCACGGGCUGUAUAAUUUGAGAUGAUGCCAUUCAUCAACCUGGCUGAGAAAGACUGUAAUUCCUGCCUGGCAAUUCAUCUCCACAAUGAAAGAUUCUAUUGAUGAGACUCUUUCUGGACAUUCAUGCAACUUUUUCAAAGUCUUCAGUGUUUUUCAUGACCUCUCCCCUCUAUGAUAUUCAUGCUUAUUCUGUCUAGUCAGCUAGUUCCUUUUGUACUAACUUCUCCAGUCUCUUUUUAGAAAACCUAAUAAAAAUUUCACCCACUCUCACUAUUUAACACAUUUCCCAUUCUAUAUGUGUUUUUUUAAUAUAAAAUUAAGUUUAGAAGCCAAGAAAAAUACUUUUGUGAUAAGGGAAACCAAGUGUGUGGUAUCCCUGUUGAUUGUACUGGGCACCUUUCCUCAACCAAGGUGAACAUCACACUGUCCUGAGUUCUCCCAGGUUCCCAACACCUCACGGCAGAAAGAAGAGUGGACCCCUUCUGCCUCCAAGGAAUAAGUAUAAAUUGUGAAGAAUGAAUAAUUAAUUAGGAUAUUGCUUUAGAACUUAUUUUUAUAACUAUUAUAGUAAAUGAAUAUAAUCCAUGUGUGAAGAUAAACAAAAUACAAACAGAAUACAUUUUAUUUGCUUAACAGGAAUCUAUACUAUAGAGUAGAAUCAUGUCUUACCCAGAACAUAGACUCUAAAAUCAAUCUGUAAUAAGAAGGUUACGUAUAAUCCAAUCUUCUCUUAAAAAUAAUCAAACACAGUAUUCAUGGCUUUGGACUUACAACUUUUUGCUGUGUGUGCAGGAUGGACAGAAUAUAAUAAAGAAUACACAUGCCAAAUAUGUUUACAGUGUUUUAUUUCCAUGAAGGUAGUUGAACUGGACUCACAAUAUGCACAUAUUAUGUGAUAUUAUGUGACUCUACUAUAUCUCAUCUCUUCUGAAUAGUAGUAGUAAUGAUGAUGAUGAUCAUGAUGACAAUGAUUAUGCUAAAAUUGUGCAGUAUGGUUACUGGUAGACACUAAAGCCACUGAGAUCAUCACAGUACCGCUCAGAUCUCCUUCCAUGUUGUAGGGUCAACCUUAGCCAAGGACAAAAUGGUGCCAGCUAAGUUCAAAGGUAAACUCAUUUAGCAUAUUUCAAAUGUCUUAAUAUAAUAGCCAACCCAAACUUUUGGAACCUGUGUUCUACUUAUUAUCUUGCUUUCCAUAUAAGCAAGUAAUUUGCUUAUAUGGAAAUCACUUAGUAAUUUCCAUGUCUCAUUAAUAGUCUGAGACUGGACUCAGCACAGACCUGAAGAAACAGCUUUCUUUGGCAUUUCUUCCUGUAACCUCUCCCUGUCAUCAGACACUUCCAUUGACAAGGAAUGUACCCCAGGGUGGGUCUCAUUUGCAGACUUUAGGCUUUACUCUAUAGCUCAACCUCUCAUGUAUUUUGUGAGUGGAGAUUCCCCACCCACCCUACCCUAUGAUUGACUAUGAGAUUGACUUAUAGUCAGUCUCCAUGAGACAGAGAUUAACUAGAAUUACUAAUUCAUCUUCCUUAUUACUCUUCAUUAGAUAAGACAUAAAGAGAAAAAUAGUAAUUAGGUAUUAAUGUUCGUAAUUCACAUAUAGAAGUCAGCUGGAUUACAUUAUCUAGAAUGCACAAACUCCGGGCUUGCUGAAAGGCUAGAGAAUGUGACAAUGUCACACAUUCUUCAGGUGGUCAUAAUUCCACAAAAAGGGGCUUGCUUACUGGGCUUUUUAGAACUGGUACAAUUUUAUCAAUAACAUUUCACAUAUUGACAAACAAUUUAUUUAAACUUGGUGUAGAUAUUGUGUCACAGCAUCAGCCAGUGUUCUCAGAGGAGGAUCCAAAGCAUUUCUGGACAAUCAAAGCUCAGGGACAAUGGAUCAAGGUGUCUGCAAGACCAGGUUUGACCUAAAGCCCAUGGAGCUCACUGGGAGCCCAAGUGAAAAGAGCACUGCCAUUUCCAGGCUCUAAAUGGGUCCUACAGGACAGAGCCUGAAAUUGAACUAAUGCUUAGUUAAAACAAGAGCAACCAGCCAUAUUUGAGGCUUGCAUCAAGGUAAAGGGGCCGUAAAACUGGCAGAGCUUGAAAAAGACAAAGCUUUUAGCCCAUGUCAAAAAUAAUUAUGUAAUGUGAAUCUCUAAUCUUGUAAUUAUCUAUACUAAAUAAAAUACUCUAGAACUAGAAUUAUUUCUAAUUUAUUUCUAAUUAUUUCUGUGUCUAGAAAUAACAGUCUGUGGUCAUGAGCUUUCUAUGCAUGCCAAAUGUGCAGUGAGGUGUUUGUGAGAGGAGAGAUAGGACAAAAGGUUGUAAAUCUCAGGUUUGUAUCUUUUAGAAAAGACCUUCUGGGCCCUUUUCAGAAUUGUGGAAUGUUAGCCAUCACCUAGAGAGACUGCCCUAGAUAGGGCACUUUUAAUACAUUAGGGACCCGAGAAACCAGGAAAAAUCUUACUUUAGGAGAGUAGGUUGCAGGUAGCCCUUGAAACAAAGAAUUUCUACAGUCAAUUUUGGACUCUCCCUGUUUUAUUAAAAUGCAGUAUACAUGUGAACUCUUGCCUAUUUAAAAAAAUUCUGAACCACAGAAUAUCACAAUAAAAAGCCAGAAAGAAGAAGGUAAAAUGAAACCCUGCAUUUUGUCAUGUAGUUAUUCUGGUUUCUACAACAACUGGAGAAGAAACAAAUUAAAAAUUACCAAUGCUUCUUAAACAUUUUCAAAAUUCUUAUGAAAAAUUUUUCUCUAGUUUUACAUCCUUACUGAUUCCCCAAACUGACCUCAUUAUUGAUAAUGUAGUGGAACACAAACAGCGAAAUAUAGUCAUGAAUAUGAAACAUUUGUACUUAAAAAUCUAGUCUGAACCAUCAUAGUUUUAUACACUAUGUUCAUCAAAAUAUAAUAUCACAUGUCAUAAUCUGUCAGAUUUUGGAAAGAAAAAUAUUUUUAUCAAAUAGCGUUAAUCCUUCUUUUUCCUAGUUGAAAUCUUAUUUUUGAAGCAAUUAAUACUUUAUAUAACUCACAUAAUUUGUCAGUUGUUCAGUAGGCCGCCAGGAGGGCAAACCCAAAAUUCAGACCAUAGUGUGGUCUAUCAUUAUCAAAAUUAGUUAUUUUCUCUAGGAAACAGCCUAGUCAAAAAUUAACUUGCCACUUUAUUUUUAAUUGAUACGUAAUACCUGUACACAUUUAUGGGGUACAUGUGAUAUUUUGUUACGUGCACAGAAUGUGUAAUGAUCAAGUCAGGGUAUUUAGGGUACCUAUCACCUCAAGUAUUUAUCAUUUUUAUGUGUUGGGAAUAUUUCAAGUCCUUUCCUCUAGCUGUUUUGAAAGAUACAAUAUAUUGUUGUUAACUAUAAUCACCCUACUCUGUUAUCAAACAUUAGAACUUAUUUCUUCUAUCUAACUGCAUGUUUUUACUCACUGACCAAACUCUAUUCAUUCUUCCAACCCCCAACACCCUUCCCAGCUUCUCGUAACUAUCAUUCAACUCUCAAUCUCCAUGAGAUCAACUUCUGUAGCUCUCAUAGAUGAGUGAGAACAUGUGAUUAUGUGAUAUUUGUUUUUCUGUGCCAAGCUUAAUUUCACUUAACAUAGUAACCUCCAGUUCUAUCCAUGUUGCUGCAAAUAACAUGUGUUUAUUAUUUUUAUGGCCAAAUAGCAUUCCAUUGUGUAAAUAUAGCACACUUUCUUUAUCCAUCCACCUGUUGAGAGACACUUAGGUUGAUUCCAUAUAUUCCAUAUAUUGACUAUUGUGAAUAGUUCUGUAAACAUGACGGUACAGGUAUCUUUCUGAUACACUGAUUUCUUUUCCUUUGGAUAAAUACCCAGUAGUGGGAUUGCUGGAUCAUAUUAUAGUUCUGUUUUUAGUUUUUCUGAUAAAUCUCCAUACUGUUUUUCAUAGUGGUUGUACUAGUUUUUAUUCCUAUCAACAGUGCAUAAGAAUUCCCUUUUCUCCAUAUCCUCACCAGCAUCUGUUAUUUUCUGUCUUUUUAAUAACAGCCUAUUUAACUGGGGUAAGAUGAUAUCUCAUUGCGAUUUUAAUUUGCAUUUCCUUGAUGAUUAGGAAUAUUGAGUAUUUUUUCAUAUACCUGUUGACCUUUUCUGUGUCUUAUUUUUAAAAAUAUCUAUUCAUGUCUUUUGCCCACUUUUUAAUGGGAUUGUUUGGUUUAUUGUUGAGUUGUUUGAGUUCCUUGUAUAUUCUGGAUAUUAGUCUCUGACUGAAUGAAUAGUUUGCAAAUAUUUUCUCCCAUUCAAGAGAUUUUCUCUUUAUUGAUUGUUUCUUUUGCUGUGCAGAAACUUUUUAGUUUAAUCAAGUUCCACUUGUCUGUUUUUGUUUUUGUUUUUGAUACUUGUGCUUUUGGGGUCUUAGGCAUAAAAUAUUUCCCUAGACCAAUGUCCUGAAGUGAUUCCCCUAUAUUUUCUGCUAGUAGCUUUAUAGUUUUGGGUCUUACACUUGCGUCUUUAACAUAUUUUGAGUUGAUUUUUGUGUAUGGUGAGAAAUAGGGGAACAUUCUUUUGCAUAUGGAUAUCCAGUUUUCCCAGCACCAUUCACUUUUUAAAAAAGACAUAUUUAUUCAGCAUCAUGUUCAGACAGACUAUUACAUCUGGCAAUCAACAGCAUGAGUGGAAAAAAUCUACAUUAAACCCCUUUUGUUGGGAUGCUUUACACUUUCCACAGAACAGAAACAUUAAGCUGUUAUACAAUUAGUCACAACUACAUUCCUCAAGUUUUUUUCUAAUACAGAUGAGUAUUGUCUAAAACAUGUCCCUUUUUUUGUGUGUGUGGUAGCUAGGCCCUGCCACCACUGUGCUUGGCCCAGUUCACAAAUCCUCUUGUAACCUAUAGCUUCCUUAUCACUUCUCUAGCUUUCCUCUACUGCUAAGCUUUGUUUCCUGGCAGUAACUAAAAUCUUCUGCUACUGCUGUAGCUAUUGCUGCUACUGGAACCACCACAGCUGCCUUGGUUUUAUGGUUUGGCAAAGUAUUGGCCUCCACCA